GCCAGCAUGGUGUAAUGGUAUGAGUGUUGGGAUUAUAACUCUGGAGGCCAGGGUUCGAUUCCCUGCUUGGCC